GAUGAACGCUGACAGAAUGCUUAACACAUGCAAGUCAACUUGAAUUUGGGUUUUUAACUUAGAUUUGGGUGGCGGACGGGUGAGUAACGCGUAAAGAACUUGCCUCACAGCUAGGGACAACUUUUAGUAAUGAAUGCUAAUACCUGAUAUUAUGAUUUUAAGGCAUCUUAGAAUUAUGAAAGCUAUAAGCACUGUGAGAGAGCUUUGCGUCCCAUUAGCUAGUUGGAGAGGUAACAGCCCACCAAGGCGAUGAUGGGUAGCCGGCCUGAGAGGGUGAACGGCCACAAGGGGACUGAGACACGGCCCUUACUCCUACGGGAGGCAGCAGUGGGGAAUAUUGGACAAUGGACCGAGAGUCUGAUCCAGCAAUUCUGUGUGCACGAUGAAGUUUUUCGGAAUGUAAAGUGCUUUCAGUUGGAAGAAAGAAAUGACGGUACCAACAGAAGAAGUGACGGCUAAAUACGUGCCAGCAGCCGCGGUAAUACGUAUGUCACGAGCGUUAUCCGGAUUUAUUGGGCGUAAAGCGCGUCUAGGUGGUUAUGUAAGUCUGAUGUGAAAAUGCAGGGCUCAACUCUGUAUUGCGUUGGAAACUGUGUAACUAGAGUACUGGAGAGGUAAGCGGAACUACAAGUGUAGAGGCGAAAUUCGUAGAUAUUUGUAGGAAUGCCGAUGGGGAAGCCAGCUUACUGGACAGAUACUGACGCUAAAGCGCGAAAGCGUGGGUAGCAAACAGGAUUAGAUACCCUGGUAGUCCACGCUGUAAACGAUGAAUUACUAGGUGUUGGGGGGUCGAACCUUCAGCGCCCAAAGCAAACGCGAUAAGUAAUCCGCCUGGGGAGUACGUACGCAAGUAUGAAACUCAAAGAAAUUGACGGGGACCCGCACAAGCGGUGGAGCCAUAUGGUUUAAUUCGACGCAACGCGAGGAACCUUACCAGCGUUUGACCUUCUUAGGAAUGAGAUAGAGAUAUUUCAGUGUCCUUUCGGGGAAACCUAAAGACCAGGUGGUGCCAUGGCUGUUCGUCAGCUCGUGUUCGUGAGA
rnacentral:rRNA from 1 species